AGCAGCCGCGGUAAUUCCAGCUCCAAUAGCGUAUAUUAAAGUUGUUGCAGUUAAAAAGCUCGUAGUUGAAUUUCGAGAUCAAAUUGUUGGUCGUGCCUCGGUACGUACUGGUAAUUUUGGUUUCUCCCUUCUGAAGAACCAUGAUGUCAUUAAUUUGGUGUCUUGGGGAAUCAGGACUGUUACUUUGAAAAAAUUAGAGUGUUUAAAGCAGGCUCGCGCUUGAAUACAUUAGCAUGGAAUAAUGAAAUAGGACGUUUGAUUCUAUUUUGUGGUUUCUAGGAUCGACGUAAUGAUUAAUAGGGAUAGUUGGGGGCAUUAGUAUUCAAUUGUCAGAGGUGAAAUUCUUGGAUUUAUUGAAGACUAACUACU
rnacentral:rRNA from 1 species